UUAAGUUCAGCGGGUACUCCUACCUGAUCCGAGGUCAACUGCGUUGAGUUGGGGCGUUUUACGGGCGUGACCGCCUCCGCGCUUCCGGUGCGAGAUUGUGCUACUGCGCAGGGGAGGACGCGGCGGGGUCGCCACUGCAUUUCGGGGGCGGCCUGGGCCGUGCCCCCAGCACCGGGCCCCCUGGGGGGCCCGAGGGUAGA
rnacentral:misc_RNA from 1 species